CCACCCUUGUAGUGUUGAUGUUCUAACGUCGACCCCUUAUCGGGGUUGCGGACAGUGCCUGGUGGGUAGUUUGACUGGGGCGGUCUCCUCCCAAAGAGUAACGGAGGAGCACGAAGGUGGGCUAAUCACGGUUGGACAUCGUGAGGUUAGUGCAAUGGCAUAAGCCCGCUUGACUGCGAGAAUGACAAUUCGAGCAGGUGCGAAAGCAGGUCAUAGUGAUCCGGUGGUUCUGAAUGGAAGGGCCAUCGCUCAACGGAUAAAAGGUACUCCGGGGAUAACAGGCUGAUACCGCCCAAGAGUUCAUAUCGACGGCGGUGUUUGGCACCUCGAUGUCGGCUCAUCACAUCCUGGGGCUGAAGUCGGUCCCAAGGGUAUGGCUGUUCGCCAUUUAAAGUGGUACGCGAGCUGGGUUUAGAACGUCGUGAGACAGUUCGGUCCCUAUCUGCCGUGGGCGUUGGAAGAUUGAAGGGGGCUGCUCCUAGUACGAGAGGACCGGAGUGGACGAACCUCUGGUGUUCGGGUUGUGUCGCCAGACGCAUUGCCCGGUAGCUAAGUUCGGAAUCGAUAACCGCUGAAAGCA
rnacentral:rRNA from 1 species